rnacentral:rRNA from 1 species
GAUGAACGCUGGCGGCGUGCCUAAUACAUGCAAGUCGAGCGAACAGAUGAGGAGCUUGCUCCUCUGACGUUAGCGGCGGACGGGUGAGUAACACGUGGAUAACCUACCUAUAAGACUGGGAUAACUUCGGGAAACCGGAGCUAAUACCGGAUAAUAUAUUGAACCGCAUGGUUCAAUAGUGAAAGACGGUUUUGCUGUCACUUAUAGAUGGAUCCGCGCCGCAUUAGCUAGUUGGUAAGGUAACGGCUUACCAAGGCAACGAUGCGUAGCCGACCUGAGAGGGUGAUCGGCCACAAUGGAACUGAGACACGGUCCAGACUCCUACGGGAGGCAGCAGUAGGGAAUCUUCCGCAAUGGGCGAAAGCCUGACGGAGCAACGCCGCGUGAGUGAUGAAGGUCUUCGGAUCGUAAAACUCUGUUAUUAGGGAAGAACAAAUGUGUAAGUAACUAUGCACGUCUUGACGGUACCUAAUCAGAAAGCCACGGCUAACUACGUG